AAAGUUGAAUUCGCUAUAAAUUUAAUAUAAAAAAAUUAAAACGGAUUUUUUAUUUAUUUUAUAAUUCCCUCUCAUUAUGCGGCAAAAACCAGGCAAGAAUAUGGGAAGCUCGUUGAAGGAGGAGACGACAGCCGACGCCGAUACUUCAAGCCGCGACAUCCCUCCUUCCGGUUCGAACAUCUUCUCUGAGGGCGAACGUGUCCUCGCUUAUUACGGCCCUUGUAUCUACGAAGCCAAGGUUCAGAAAGUGGAGCUUCGGAAAAAAGAAUGGAAGUAUUUCGUUCAUUACCUUGCAAGUCUACUUGCCUUAAUUUACCUUGGCAUACGCUUUUUGUGAAGCUGACUAGUUGUGGAACCUCCUAUGGCAUACCCUUGGCAUGAACACUUAAAGAAAUUUACCUUAAUUUUUGAUACACAUAUACAUUUGAAAGUCUACACGAGGCUUAAUCUAGUUUUUGGUGUCGGUUUUGUAGGAUAAGCUAAAUAUUACUUGUUUAUGGUAUUAAGUGAUAUUUGUUUUGCUGUUUUGCAGGUUUGCAGGGUUGGAAUAAGAAGUAUGGCUUCAGUAAGCAUGGUCUCACCUUAAUCUAAGUUACUGCCUUAUUUUUGUUUUUCGAUUGAUUUAUUGUUUAAAUUUUCACAACUCUUGAUGCAUCUAAAAAUUUAAUCUAACAGUGUCCAUGUGAAAUUUAUCAUAAAGCUAUUCCUCAGAAAAAUUUCCCUUUAAAGCACUAAAAGUCUACAACAUCCCUUUUUAUAAUGUUUCUUAUAUAAAUAUUAAUCAGUAUUAUACUUUCAAGUGAAAUAGGUAAUUGACAUUCAUCAAUUAAAUUGGGGACCCUGACAUAUAUUUAAGCUAAAAUAUUUAUUUAAUCAAGAGAUAUAAGGUUUGUUUGGUUUAAAUUUGCAUAUUUUUUGUUCUUACAUUUUCUUUGUGGGUACUAAUUCAUUUAUGCUAUAAUGAAAUCCUGAAAGGUAAUCAAAACUCAAUAUAUUACUGGAAAAUGAUUGCUUUCAUUUUCCACUUUCUCAAACGGGAAACAGAAACCAUUACUAUGGCUUGGACAUAUUGCCAACAGUCGGGGACAAAUGGGUAGCAGCUGAUCGGUUGAUGAAAAAUACUGAAGAGAAUGUCAUCAAGCAGCAAGCCCUUGACAAAAAACAGGGUGUUGAAAGAGGUUCAAGGUUAGGGCGUUCAAGUCAUACAAAGCCAAAAAGCUCUACUGAUGCAAAAGGGGAUAAGAGGACCUGAAGAACACUGCAAAAGGGGAAUCGUAGGGGUGUAAAUGAUCAUAGUUUGAACGAAUAAAGUUAUAUUCGUGUUCAUUUGUUUAUUUU